UUCGUCACCACCUCCCACUUAGGGAUGGCUCGAUACCACAAUUUUGACUUCGGUACGAUACUAGGAUCUAAUACCUCGGUAUCGAUACUAAAUCGAUACCAUAGGUGACAAAUAACCAGCCUCAAAAUAUAAGUGAAUUGAAAACAAUUUUAUUAAACGCACUGCUUGGAACUCUGCAUGAAAAAUUGUGCAAACAAAAUGUAAAAAAAAAAUAAAUAAAUAAAUACAUUGAACAUAGGUCAGAUUUU